GGGUCGGCGGUGCAGGCAGACGCGGUAGUAGGUGGUGUGGCGUGGUUGUCCGGAGUGAUUGGGCGGCACGAGCGUGUGGGACGCCAGGCAGGGUCGCGGUGAAAACGCGAGGCUCAACAGUGAGAGGUCGUGGGAAACCGUCUGGCUAGAGGCCAGAAGAGGAGAGUGGAAUUCCCGGUGUAGCGGUGAAAUGCGCAGAUAUCGGGAAGAACACCCGUGGCGAAGGCGGCUCUCUGGGACGGUACUGACGCUGAGACGCGAAAGCGUGGGGAGCGAACAGGAUUAGAUACCCUGGUAGUC
rnacentral:rRNA from 1 species